rnacentral:rRNA from 1 species
GAUGAACGCUGGCGGCGUGCCUAAUACAUGCAAGUCGAGCGAACAGACGAGGAGCUUGCUCCUCUGACGUUAGCAGCGGACGGGUGAGUAACACGUGGAUAACCUACCUAUAAGACUGGGAUAACUUCGGGAAACCGGAGCUAAUACCGGAUAAUAUAUUGAACCGCAUGGUUCAAUAGUGAAAGACGGUUUUGCUGUCACUUAUAGAUGGAUCCGCGCCGCAUUAACUAGUUGGUAAGGUAACGGCUUACCAAGGCAACGAUGCGUAGCCGACCUGAGAGGGUGAUCGGCCACACUGGAACUGAGACACGGUCCAGACUCCUACGGGAGGCAGCAGUAGGGAAUCUUCCGCAAUGGGCGAAAGCCUGACGGAGCAACGCCGCGUGAGUGAUGAAGGUCUUCGGAUCGUAAAACUCUGUUAUUAGGGAAGAACAAAUGUGUAAGUAACUAUGCACGUCUUGACGGUACCUAAUCAGAAAGCCACGGCUAACUACGUG